AGUCUCACCCUAGAUAAGAAUGGUCACGAGCGGUGGGUGUCCAUGAUUGAUAAAUGUGGCUAAAGUGAGACACAGUAAGUGUUUCCCUCCCAGUAAAUGUACUUCAGCAAUGACAAUUUAGUCUGUAACAUUU
ensembl:snoRNA